rnacentral:misc_RNA from 1 species
CACAGCGACUUGUGCCAUUCCGCUGAACUGGAUUCUUAAACCCCAGACUCCGCAGUUGUUGCUGAGUCAUUGGCCGCGAAACUACAGCUUCGCGAGCAAGCACGUCGGAGGAGGGCACUUCGGCAUGACCGAUGGAAGCGCCCGGUUCAUCAGUGAGAACAUCGACAUCAAUCUCUACCGCGGUGCCUCGACAAUCAGCUCCGGUGAAGUGGCAGGCGAGUUCUGAGAGCAACUCCGCGUGGAGUUGAGAUUUUGCAGCACCCACGGUCGCCAGUCUCAAGUCGGUGCCCGUGCGGUGCUGCUGUUCUAAGUUCAAUAGGUUCCUAACCAGUCCCGAACAUACGGGAGACCUGCACCGUGAAGAUUCAACUGUUGAGCCGCAGCAGAGUAGUGCUGGCAUUGCUUGUCGGA